AGCCAAGCUGGGAUUGAGCUCGCGUCACUUCCGGGAGGAAGCGCCGGCCUCCGGCUGGGGCUCAGGGGUGGGCUCGCGCCUCUCCUGGCCCGGCUUCUGGAACUUCCCACCUUAUGUGCGAUUUCUGGACGGGACGGUGGCUAGUGCUUCAUGUUUACCCUCAUGGUAUGGGAAGGUUAGGAAUGGCGGGCUCCAGGUGCCCUGAUUGAUAGGGCACAUUAACGUUUCUUUUCAUCCAAGAUGCUUGCGCUAGAAGCAAGGACGCAAAGAUGAAAAACCUGGAGAAUUUGCACCCCCACCCCACCCCGCCUGGAGCCCCUGGGGCUAGGACACUGGGUAGCACCGGGGAGAGCACAAACCCAGCCCGACCUGCCUUCCAGAUGAGAAGAGAGAGACUCAGAGAAAUCAGGCCAGUCCCGAGGUCCUGAUGACGGUGAAGGCUGCCUCAUUGAGAGUGCACAGCGUUGGCAAGUUCUGAGUCCCAGCACACCCACAUUCUGGCCAGGUACUCAGGCCACUCACCUGACGUCUGUGAGUGAGUGAUCCUGGGGUCUGUUCCACAUGUCUCAAGCUUUUGUACUGAAAUAUACACGAAGGCCUUGGAGUACAUUUUUAUCCAGCUUAUUCUGCCGGGGUUACAGGAACCAUCUUUGGACACAGACAACUCACUAGUGGGGAGAGGUCUCCACUUGGGGAGGACCGGGCCCUGGGAGGAAAACAAAUGCAGACAGCAGCCUCAUCCUUCUACCAUGAUGGCCAAAUGGGGAAGACUGGCCAGCUAUGAUCCUCCACCAUCCUGUCUGCUCCCCUGCUCCUUCCCAGUCGUGGUACCAUUAGUCUCCAUAGUUACAAACUGAGAACACCAGUGAACAUGAUGGUGGUGGGGAUGCUGACCACAGUAAUGCUGUCUGCAUACC